rnacentral:rRNA from 1 species
GUGAGUCAUCGAAUCUUUGAACGCAUCUUGCGCUCUCUGGUAUUCCGGAGAGCAUGUCUGUUUGAGUGUCAUGAAUUCUUCAACCCAACUGUUUCUUGUAAACAGCUGGUGUUUGGAUUCUGAGCGCUGCUGGCUUCGUGCCUAGCUCGUUCGUAAUACAUCAGCAUCCCUAAUACAAGUUUGGAUUGACUUGGCGUAAUAGACUAUUCGCUAAGGAUUCGGUGGAAACAUCGAGCCAACUUCAUUAAGGAAGCUCCUAAUUUAAAAGUCUACCUUUUGAUUAGAUCUCAAAUCAGGCAGGAUUACCCGCUGAACUUAA